UGCCCCAUAGCCAAGUGGUAAGGCAAUGCGCUCUGACCGCAUCACGCGUUAGUUCGAAUCUAACUGGGGCAGCCA
rnacentral:tRNA from 1 species